rnacentral:rRNA from 1 species
GAUGAACGCUAGCUACAGGCUUAACACAUGCAAGUCGCGGGGCAGCAUGUCGGUUGCUUGCAACCGAUGAUGGCGACCGGCGCACGGGUGAGUAACGCGUAUCCAACCUGCCCUUCACCACGGAAUAAUCCAGUGAAAAUUGGUCUAAUACCGUAUGAGGUCAUACGAUGGCAUCAGAAUAUGACGAAAGGUUUAAGUCGGUGAAGGAUGGGGAGUGCGUCUGAUUAGCUUGUUGGUGAGGUAACGGCUCACCAAGGCGACGAUCAGUAGGGGUUCGUGAGAGGAAGGUCCCCCACCAUUGGAACUGAGACACGGUCCAAACUCCUACGGGAGGCAGCAGUGAGGAAUAUUGGUCAAUGGACGAGAGUCUGAACCAGCCAAGUAGCGUGCAGGAUGACGGCCCUAUGGGUUGUAAACUGCUUUUAUAAGGGAAUAAAGUGAGUCUCGUGAGACUUUUUGUCAUGUACCUUAUG